GUCUCUUUGUAGACAUUCGAUAAAAUUGGAACGAUACAUAGAAGAUUAGCAUGGUCCAUGUGCAAAGAUGACACACAUAAAUAAAUAAAUGGUCCAACAAAUUUAU